UUAGCUUCUUAACAAUGGUAUUGCUGUAACUGUAUCUUACAACAUUUUUGAGAAUAAUGUAUUUUUGUUGUUCUUUUUUUUAUUAUUUUUAUUCUCCAGAGGAUCUGAAGACGUUUAACUAGACUUGGAGGUAGACUGUGUAAUGGAGCGUGAAAAAACAUUUUAGUCUGACCAUGUGCUCUAUAAUAUCAGAUCAAUCAGCCAUCUGGCUUGGGAAAAUGGAAUCAUCUUGAUUACCGAAGUGUGCGGAUCCCUCCGGGAGCUGCAGUUAGCUGCUGAGCGUCUCUGAGGAGUGCCCUGCUCUCCUCGCGUGUCCUUCACAGCAGCCUGCUGACAAGUCUCGACACAAGACAGACACAAAUCAAUAGCGUGUUUUUAAAUGUUACUGAGAUGGAAUUUCAGGGAGCCUUCAUGUUAAUGUCAUUUGGCACUUACAUGGAGUAAACAGCAGACGAGGAAAAGCAGACUUGAAUUUGGCUCCAAGAGAGUGAUGCGAAUCCAGGCCCGGCACCUAUUUAACUCCCUGAGGUUGGUUAUGUCCCUGCUGUGAUCAGUGCAUCAACUGGGGGUAUUGCUGCUCCUGGGACUAACUCCUGUAUGCUUUAUAACUUCUGGAGUCCUCAGCAUGCCAGACGCACAGGCUGUCACAAUCUGAAGUUCUUCAUAAUGUACACCUGAAAGCUUGAGUGUCUUCUGUGCAAGUUGUUUAACCUGUCCAGACUGUAAACUCCAGCUGAACUACCUAAAUCGGAGACUGGGAGUGGGAACGCAGCACCUUUUUCAUUCUGGUUUCAAGUCACUCUUUACUAAGUGUAGCACUUGGUUGUUGUCGUAUCUCAAAGCUGACACCAAUUUUUCUCUUGUCUCAGGUGUGCUGUGGAAAGGAGAUGGCCUGUGCUUGAGCCGUAAAACUGAUGGGCUCCAGAGUUGGAUUUGUUGUGCAGGUACAGUUGGUUUACAGCACACAUGGUCAGCCUGACCCUUCCCAAAAGAGAUCUGAGCAUCACCACUGAUUUCGGCAUUCAGAGCUGCUGGAGUGUGACAUAUUCCACGAUUCCUCCCUGCCUGGCUGGUGAAAGCACUUCUCUGCUCCGGAGCGAGCCCCGCGACCCGGCACUUCCCUCCAACAAAGAGCUGGAGACAGACUGCGCCUGCAGGACUCAUCCUAAUGGGAACCAAUUUCGGGAGACAGCCUAG
ensembl:lncRNA